rnacentral:rRNA from 1 species
UACGUAGGGGGCAAGCGUUGUCCGGAAUCAUUGGGCGUAAAGCGCGCGUAGGCGGCCCGGUAAGUCCGUUGUGAAAGUCAAAGGCUCAACCUUUGAACGCCGAUGGAUACUGCCGGGCUAGAGUCCGGAAGAGGCGAGUGGAAUUCCUGGUGUAGCGGUGGAAUGCGCAGAUAUCAGGAGGAACACCAAUAGCGAAGGCAGCUCGCUGGGACGGUACUGACGCUGAGGAGCGAAAGCGUGGGGAGCGAACAGG